rnacentral:rRNA from 1 species
GUUUGAUCCUGGCUCAGGACGAACGCUGGCGGCGUGCUUAACACAUGCAAGUCGAACGGAAAGGCCUAGCUUGCUAGGUACUCGAGUGGCGAACGGGUGAGUAACACGUGGGUGAUCUGCCUCGUACUUCGGGAUAAGCCUGGGAAACUGGGUCUAAUACUGGAUAGGACCAUGCUUUAGUGUGUGUGGUGGAAAGUUUUUUCGGUACGAGAUGAGCCCGCGGCCUAUCAGCUUGUUGGUGGGGUAAUGGCCUACCAAGGCGUCGACGGGUAGCCGGCCUGAGAGGGUGGACGGCCACAUUGGGACUGAGAUACGGCCCAGACUCCUACGGGAGGCAGCAGUGGGGAACAUUGCACAAUGGGCGCAAGCCUGAUGCAGCGACGCCGCGUGGGGGAUGACGGCCUUCGGGUUGUAAAUCUCUUUCGCUAGGGACGAAGCUUUUGUGACGGUACCUAGAUAAGAAGCACCGGCUAACUACGUGCCAGCAGCCGCGGUAAUACGUAGGGUGCGAGCGUUGUCCGGAAUUACUGGGCGUAAAGAGCUCGUAGGUGGUUUGUCGCGUCGUCUGUGAAAUUCCGGGGCUUAACUCCGGGCGUGCAGGCGAUACGGGCAUAACUUGAGUGCUGUAAGGGGAGACUGGAAUUCCUGGUGUAGCGGUGGAAUGCGCAGAUAUCAGGAGGAACACCGAUGGCGAAAGGCAGGUCUCUGGGCA